AAAGAAGUGUCUACUGGAAUCAAUGUCACAACAGCACUGACCUUUCCAUAGUAAUUAGUAAGUGCUCUUUGUUGGGGUAGUUUGAAGUGA
rnacentral:pre_miRNA from 1 species